UGGCUCAGAACGAACGCUGGCGGCAUGCCUAACACAUGCAAGUCGAACGAAGGCUUCGGCCUUAGUGGCGCACGGGUGCGUAACGCGUGGGAAUCUGCCCUCAGGUACGGAAUAACUCAGGGAAACUUGAGCUAAUACCGUAUAAUGACUUCGGUCCAAAGAUUUAUCGCCUGGGGAUGAGCCCGCGUCGGAUUAGCUAGUUGGUGGGGUAAAGGCUCACCAAGGCGACGAUCCGUAGCUGGUCUGAGAGGAUGAUCAGCCACACUGGGACUGAGACACGGCCCAGAGUCCUACGGGAGGCAGCAGUGGG
rnacentral:rRNA from 1 species